rnacentral:rRNA from 1 species
AGUGAACGCUGGCGGUAGGCCUAACACAUGCAAGUCGAACGGCAGCACAGGAGAGCUUGCUCUCUGGGUGGCGAGUGGCGGACGGGUGAGGAAUACAUCGGAAUCUACUUUUUCGUGGGGGAUAACGUAGGGAAACUUACGCUAAUACCGCAUACGACCUACGGGUGAAAGCAGGGGAUCUUCGGACCUUGCGCGAUUGAAUGAGCCGAUGUCGGAUUAGCUAGUUGGCGGGGUAAAGGCCCACCAAGGCGACGAUCCGUGGCUGGUCUGAGAGGAGGAACAGCCACACUGGAAAUGAGACACGGUCCAGACUCCUACGGGAGGCAGCAGUGGGGAAUAUUGGACAAUGGGCGCAAGCCUGAUCCAGCCAUACCGCGUGGGUGAAGAAGGCCUUCGGGUUGUAAAGCCCUUUUGUUGGGAAAGAAAUCCAGCUGGCUAAUACCCGGUUGGGAUGACGGUACCCAAAGAAUAAGCACCGGCUAACUUCGUGCCAGCCGCCGCCGUAA